AUAAAAAGCAACGAACCAUAUCUCUUUGGGAAGGUAUCGAUUUUGCUAUUGUUGUAGACAUCGGAGAAAUAUGGUUGUAAAGUGGCAGUGGUGGUAUGAUUAGCUUCAAAAAUUAUGACGAGAAAGACAGUUCGAAGGCGGAUACAUGCUGCAAACAACCAAGGUAAUGAAUCCAACAUGCCAUACACCACAUCAUUUAUUACAAUGUAGUAAUGGAGAACUUCAUUUAUUACACUUCAGAUGUCCAAUAUGUGUUUAAGGAAUCUUCAUUUAUUGCGUGUUUUGCUUAAUUUGGUUAUAGUAAAGUUGGGUUUUGUUGUAGGUGUUCAUCAUUCUUAUAUCGUUGUCAUGGCUGGGAGGUGGAUUCAGUACGACAGUGGUGAUUGGGAUUUCAAGAUUGACAACGACAGAAUGAGGAGGGCAAUCGAUGUGGAGCUUAUAACCGGUCUAGAUAUGCUCAAACAAAAAAGCAUAGAGGAAUAUGGCCUCAUAGGAGUGUCUCUUAUCGUUGAGCUCUCAUAUUGGCUUCAUGGCGUUGUAUCUGCUGUGACGGAUGAAAGCCAAUAUCCACUUCAAAUUUCCAACCCUGAGGACUUGAAAAUAUUUACUUCGGUCCGGAAAGUGGACAAGUCGGCAAACAUUUUUGUUACAUUUAGGGAGAUAGUUGAUGGGAAACUGAUAUUCCUCAGGCCGAGGGGAUGCGUUGGCACUAGUAAUGGAGUUGAUGACAUGAAUGAGCUGCGAGUUGGAAGUACAUCAGGGGUUGUUGUAGGUGAGGUGGAUGUCGUCACUGGUAAUGAGUUGGAAGAGUGUGAAAUAGAUGUGCUUGACGAUGAUACUAUUAUGAGGCAUGUUGAAGAAGUAGAAGCUGUUUAUGUUGUGAAGUCUUUCGAAUUGUCGAACAAGGCUGCGACAGCCAGCGAAGUCGAGGAAAAGGUGGACAACAAAGAUUGUGAGGUUCAGGAAGACAUAUGAAGAGAGGAAGAAGACGAUAAAGACGGUGAAGACGAUGAAGAUGAGGAUGAAGAGUAUGAAGAGGAUGAAGUGGAUGAGAAAGAUUAUGAUUACAAUGGUUGGAAUGAUUUUGUUUUAAGAAACUGUGAAUGGGACGAUGGGAAAAAUGGGGAAGGAGAGGCAGAUGGGCGUACGAACACGAAAGAUGUAGGUGUACGUGGUGAGAUGGCUCCAAACACGGGAGUGGGAGCAAAGUCUAUGGACAAAUCUUCGAGGAAAGGCAGUGGGUCAGCUGGAAAGAAGCAGCGUACUUCAAAUGAGAAAUCUACAUCAUCAUUUAAAGAUUACAUAGAUGAUGGUAGAGAUUACAUAUGAACGUCGAGGAGCGAUCCCAGCGGUAUCGAAAAAGGUCCGAAUAAUAGGAAGUUCCGAAAGAAAAAAAAUGUAGCAGGUGUUCCAUAACAUGUCACAAUAAAAAAAUCAUGUAAAGAACCCCUACCAUGAUGGGUUUUGAAGUGGAGAAUAUACUUUGUUUGAUAACAAAGAAGCGUGUCGUAUGAAGUAAUUUAUUUUGCGAACGGUGUACGUAUGCAUGUUGUCACUGUGGGAGUUAUUUUGUAAUGUCAGUGUUGGGACUUAUGGUGUUUAUCUUUUUUAAAUACUUAUGGUAUUUAUUGUCUAAUGGUGUACAUGAUAAGGUGUACAGACGAAAUUGUGUACACCGUUAAUAUGGUACACAAUUAAUAUGUCACUAUUUUAUAAUCAAUAGUAUUGAUAUGGUGUACAUGACCUUGUAUACAAGAUUUGGUGUACAUUACUUGGUGUACAGAGUUUCGUCUGUACACCAUUAUUACGUAUACAAUUAAUAUGUAAACCAUUUUAUAAUUAAUUUUGUAGAGAUAUAUACACCAUUUAAUAAUUAAUAGUGUAAAGAUAUAGUGGAGUGUUCUAUAGUUGAACUUUACAUAUCCGUUACUAUCGAUCUAAAUAAUAGCCGUUACUAGAUCAUGUAUAAGAAGACCUGGUAUAUAUGAUCUUGUAUAUAAGACCUGGUGUACAUGACAUUGUGUACAAGAUCUGGUGUACAUUACUUGGUGUACAGACGAAACUAUGUACACCAUUAUUAUGUACACUGUUAAUACAUACACCAUUUUAUAAUUAAUAGUGUAUAGGUAUAGUGGAGUGUUCGAUAGUUGAAGUUUACAUAUACGUUACUAUCAAUGUAAAUAAUAGCCGUUAUUAUUUAUAAAUUUUAAAAUGAUUCUUAAUAAUGGAGUUUUCUAUAAUCGAACUUUACAUAUCCGUCAAUAUUGAUCUAAUUGAUUUUAAAAAUAGCCGUUAUAGCCGCUACCCAAAAUUUAGCCGUUAGGUACAAUUUGAAAUGUAGCUGUUACAACAUAUAGCCGUCAGGAUCGGUGGCAAAUAUAGCCAUUAGGAGCGAUGCCAAAUAUAGGCAUUAGGCAUUGUCCUAUUUAAGCCGAAAGGGUUGAGUUGUUUAAAUCAAGCAUACAUCUAUUUCCAUAAGCACAAAAAACAAUUUCUCGAUCUUUUCUGUACUCAAGAAUCGGCAAUGGGAGAUCCUUACUAGGCUGAUGUGAAGCAAUGGAAAAGGGACAUCGACUGGCGUGAGUUAGUCAUCUAUGCUCUUCAUUGCAUACCAAAACAUUGUUCUUGCGGUGAACCGAUCACAGUGGAAACCGACGUUAAUGAAAGGAGUUAAUACGUCUGCAAAGAUUUUAAGGAUGAUGACGAGCACAUUCGACAUGACUGUAUUACAACUUUCGAGGAAGAGAUAGAUGAAUUAAAGAAGGAGGCACGUGAGGAGCUAGAGACUAGAAGGAAGAUGCAGCAUGAAAUUGCUCAACUGCGUGAAGAGCUGAAACAUUUUAAGGAGUUACUUAAGGGUUUAUGUAUAGGGAUAGGUUUAAGGGUUUAGGGUUGAGGGUUAAGAGGUGAGGGUUAAGGGUUGAGGGUUGAGGGUUAAGAAAUAUCUGAAAUUAUGUAAUUUGCUUUCAUUUUAAUUAACUUUUGUUUAAAUAUUUUCGUGUCACGGCAAAAAAUUAUGUAAUUGUUAUCUGAUUAGUGUUUUAAAUUAAAGUUUUUUAAAAAUAAACAACAAAUAAAAAAACUGUAGCCAAACAACAUUUUAUAUACAACAAAUAUUAUAUAAUAUUCUGAGACAUUGAAAUUUAUAUACAACAAACAACUGAUUUGUAGCAAAAAAAACUGAUUUAUAUACAACUGAUUUGUAACCAAACAAUUAGGAACAUGCGUCCAUUUCAAUCAAACAUUAUAGACAUACAAGAUUUUGUUAUCUCAACCCUGUGUUUUAAAUUAAUUAAAAAUAAAACCGGAAAUGUGAUAAGUUAAUAAACAACAAAUAUGAAUAAAACCGGAAAUGUGAUAUGUAAACAAUUGUAAAUAGUUAACUAUCAGUACGAUUCUGCACUAGACUUAGGACCUGACUUGUGAUUAUUCUGAAGGUAUUCCUGAUAAUUCUUAAGAUCUAACUCACUGUCGGACGCCUCCUCACUCCCUUCUUCCAGAGUAUUUGAUGUACACGACCACCAGCGUCAUAUGAAUGGUCGUUUUCUGGGUCCUCCUUAUGCUUGUAUUCUGUUCUAGCCUUUUUUCGGGCGUUUUGACGAUUCAUCUGAUUCAGUCGGAGAACCCUUCGAUUCAGACGAACUUUCACCUUCUUCAACUUGGAAUGCUGCAUGCAUGAUGUCGUCAAUGGUCGAGAACUCAUAUGAACUGAUCGCCGACCGUAUGUCCUCCCUUAAGCCAUCUCGAUACAUCUUCACCAAUGUUUCAUGGUUGUGAUUUUGAAGAAGACCCCCUACCAAAAACGAUGUAUUGUAUUCUCGGACAGAUGAAUCUUCCUGCUUCUUUUUUGCUUGUAUUGGAAUCCGUUGUGUGAUAUAAUGAUAGUGUUAGAGGGUAUUUAUAUAGAGAAAUAAUAUGGCGGAGUGAUGAAUAUAUGCGACCAUUGGGAAAACCAAAAUUCUUAACUGACAUUGUCAAGGGUUGCAAAAGGUUUAUGAUAACUGUUUUUGACUAUUACAUAAGUAACUCCGUUUUGGAUACUUUACAAGCGGUGGGGUACAAAGUUAUAUUUUCUAUGAUAACCGGAACCGUAUAUUUUCUCUAUAUUUAUUAAUUUUUAUAUGUGUUAAUUAAUCGUGGUGUACAAAGUUUACGUAAAACGGUGAAUGAAAGGAGUUGUACACCGUAAGGUGCAUAACUCAGUAAAAAAGUUUAACGCAUACAUAUUGGAUAAAGAGGAUUCUCAAGUACAAAAGAAUCUUGCAAAAGUUAUGUUUUACAGCAUGUGCAAAAUAUUUAAACUGAUCCAAUAGAGCCUGUAGUGUUUGCAAGUACCUUCCAAAGCGAAAUUGAUAUCAUGUACGAAUUCACAUGUAGGUGUCGGGAUUACCUCAUCAUCCGAAAAUUUGAAGGUCGAAGCAUAGGUGUUCAAUGUUGGCGCAUGGAACAAUGACAAUCUAAACUGUAGCUCAUCUGCCAUUUCAAAUACAUCGUCCGACAUAAGCACAUUGUUAUUGGGUCCAAACUGCUGAAACACAUUGAUGGCUUCCUUAUCUCGACCAAGGCAUACAUAGAAUAUGCCCAUUGCUAGGGUUGACAAUUCAUGCGUAGGAACAUUGGCCUCCAAUACUUAGAUACCCUGCUCAAGUCCAAAAAGUGUUGCUCGAUGGAACCCUUCGUAGUAAACAGCAGUUAUGUUACCAGCAUUAACGCAUUGACGAAAAAGUUCCUAAACUUACCAAAUUUGCCGAUUUGACAAGAAGUGAAAUCGAGCAUAGGACUCACGUUGCACGUUCGUAAUAUGGAUUGAGAAUGGACAAGUCUGUAUCCAACUUUCCCAGCCUGGAUGAAACCUCCAAGGUAGGAAAAGGAUCCCUAUCCAACAAGUUGAAUGAUUUUCAAUAUGACUUCGUGGGGGAACAUAUGCAAGUUGUCCUUGUGGCAUACUAUUUUCAAGAUGGGAAAUAGUUUUCUAUGUAUAGAUAGCGCUUAUGAAUCUACCUACUUAAAUAUAGGAGUAACUUAAAGAUGUUGGGUGAGUUAAAUACAAAAUUUAAUGUUACCACCAAUACAAAAAUAAAGUUGGGUGACUUAUUUUAUAAUAAUAUUUGGUGUACAGAUCCUUAUAAAUGAUAAUAUUGUUGAUACAUAUAUCUCGAAUACGGUGUACAAAGUUGUUUACCCUAAUAUACAUUAUAUGGUGUACACCCUAAUAUACGGUGUACAAAGUCAUACACCCUAAUAUACAAUACUUUACGGAGAUAACUGUAACACCCGUCUCCUCCUCUCUCGAGAACGGUGUGUUACUACCGGUGAAAUAUCGAAUUAAACCGAAUUAUUCCAAAUCGAACAACAUAACAUAAUAUUUAAUAAAAUAAUUUUAAAAGAAAUACAUUUGUAAAUUGAAGUAUAAAAAUAUAUCAAAAUAAAUCGAAUCUAAAAUUCGUAUAAAUUAGUAAUCAAAACCGAAUUAAAUAAAUUAUCCCAAAGACACCAAACCGUUCAGAUAUCCAAUACUCGAUAAGCGCACCUGCAAGGGGGAAGAAGAAGGGUGAGCAACAGGUGAGUUACUCCGUGAGGUAUGGGGAUGCUAAACACGCAAACCACUGACUUGAGUAAUAUAACUCGCACUAUGGAAGUUUAGCUCUAACAUGAACAAACAAGACGUCUAAAGGAUCACACAACACAAACAAUGCGAUGAUAACAUAUAGCUAGUCCAUACACCCCGCAUCUCCUCAUACGGAUAUAUAUAUACAUACGCUGCGUCGCUAGUACAGUCUGUCUCUGUACCCCCGCCCUCCAAAGCUGCGUCGAAUGCAAACGUCUCUGCAUCCACGCCCCACACAAUCUGCGUCGCUAGCCCAGACGUCUCUGAGCCCCCGCCCACCAAAGCUGCGUCGCUAGUCCAGACAUCUCUGGACCCCCGCCCACUCACAUAGUCCCUAAUCAUAACUAUGUAAACAUACAUAUAUAUAUCGCAUUUCUUAACAUCACACAAUCAAAUCAACGGUUGAAUCCUCUAGACCCCUAGUUCCAAUUUACAAUGAAUGAGCUAACUAACAAACAAGACUCAAACAGAUUCAUUUCAAACAGAGGGAUCAUGAUUCGAAAUCUAAACUACGAUAGAGAGAAUUCUACACUGGUACGGGAUCUACGGAAUAGCCCUCACCUUAGCCAAUAUUAGAGAUUCGUCGGAUAAUACUCAGGAACUGAUAUGUCUCGUCAAAUGUCUAGGCUUUAGAGUUGACUUGGCAAACAAAUCACCGAUAAGGUCUUUGAUUCCUUCCUACGCAUGCCAUGUUAAACGUGUACGUUAAAUAUAUUUCUUGUAUCACAAGAAACAACUUAUGAUACAAUUAACCUUCUCGGAAAUAGCUACGGUUUGAACGGCUAGAUCUUUGGUGACACGGCUCAGCUCUCCGGUGGCUCACGGUUCAUGGCAAAGCAUAUCGGUGGUAGUCGGUUAAGCGGCUGUGGCUCAAAGCUUACAACGGGGGAUCCGCUCGGUGCCGCGGUGGUGAGACGGUGGCUCCUCUUUGUGCAUCUCCUUCUCACGUUCACUUAUCGGAUCGAUAUUAUACCAACCACAAAGCACUUGCGAUUGAUCUUGGACUAGCAAAGGUUGUGGCAUCACGGCGGUGGCUAUCGGUGAUGGAUGGUUCGUGGGGAAACGGAUCAGUGGUGGUGAUGGUAGCUCGGGCUUGCUCGCGAUCUAUCUCUUGACUUUGCUCACUUUAUCAACGCAUGAGAUGGCAUGGUAAUGGAUCCAGUGACUCAUCUCUUUAAGCUCUCGGAUCUGGCGUACCACCAACAAUGGUGGCUUUGAUCGCAAGCAAACAUGAGUGGGGGUGAAGAGAAGAACAAAUAAUCACGAGGUGGGUUGACGGCUUGACGUAUAUUUUAGGGUUACACAAACUCUUAUAUAUACGCCCACGAUUUAGUUAAUGAGAUUGGCUUUGGUUUUCACUCAUAAUUGUUUUAAAUUAAACCAUACCGAUUUAACAAAACCGGGUCGUUACAAUUCUCCCCCACUUAUAAAGAAUUCGUCCUCGAAUUUAAAUCCUGAGCCGGUUGUCUAAUAUCAUCCUGAAAAAGUUUUGGAUCAUCAAUUCUCAUCUGAGUCUCGGUCUUUUAGGUCUCCUCCUAGAUUUUGUCUUUCUUUCAACAAAUUUUGCAAACAUAGUCAUCAUUCUCUGAACCUCUUUCCCUUGCCAAUUUAUAAUAUCCACUGGGCGGCAAGGUGCAGGUAAUUAAUUUUUUUUUUUUCUCACUUGGCGAAGGCUGCAAAAUGAGCUCCGGCUCUCUCCCAAUGUUUCUCAAAGCUGGCACAUGGCAUACGUCAUGGGAAUUUGAUACACGGAUGAUAAAAUAACUGCAAUCAACUGCUUCAAUUCGCUCCACCGAAAGAUAUAGUCCAAUGUACCUCGGUCUAAGUUGCUUCAGCUUAUGAGUCUUAAGUCCUUCCUGAAAUGUCAUUAUUUUCAAGUACAUUAGGUCGCCCAUAUGUAACUCCAAAUCCUUACGGCACUUAGCUGCAUAAAUCCUCUGCCGUCAUGGGCUUCCCAAAGCCAAUCCUUGAGCAUGCCCAUUUGCUAUACCAUCUCUUAAACCAUUAAUAGUUCUAACUCAUGUCACUCCCUCACUUUGGUCUAACAAAGUGGUAUACGACAAAGCCUACCAUAAAUAGCCUCAUACAGUGUCAUCUCAAUGCUCGAACAAUAAUUUUCGAUGUAGGCAAACUUUGCUAGAUGUAAUGCUUUUCGAUCUUCCAUCCCACUGUAAGAGGUAAUCCCUGAGUAUGUUCUCUAAGUCUGAAUAGUUCUCUUUAACUAACCAUCUGUAUGCUGAUAAUAAGUUGUAUUCAUGUGGAUCUUUGGCCCAAGUUUCUUCUGAGUGACUCCAAAAAUGUAGUGAACUUCGAAUCCCAAUCCGAUACAAUGUUGACAUCCAUGAAACCUCCCAGACUCAAUAAUGUAAGUCUACUCAAACUUAUUAGCUCUAACUGUUUUCUUAAUUACUUAGAAAAUGGGCUGACUUGGUAAGUCUAUCCAUGACUACCCAUGUGGCAUCCUUUCCACAUAUGGUGAUUUAAAAAUCCAAUAACAACGUCCAUAAUCACCAUGCCUCAUGUCCACUCUGGCAAAAGCAAGCUCAAAAAUAACAUGAUAGAUAACUGAUCCUCUGACAUAGCCAUCUGACAUGUCUGACACUGUGACGCAAUGAAGCUACAACUCCCUUCAUACUAGACCAAUUAUAGUAAACACUUCAUAUCCUUGUACCCCUUGGUGUUCCCGAUGGGUAGAGAAACACGAGUGAUGUAUUUGCUAUAAGAUCCCUUUUCUUAACAGCUUAUCGUCCAACACACAACUCGGUUUCGUUACAGGUAUAUCCUUCUCAAAACUAUCAUGCUCAACACUAAUGAUAUCCAAUACUCCCAAUCUCGAUCGUUUUACAAAUCCAUAACUUUAGCAUGCGCUUGGCGUAUUCUCCAUAGCAAAACUGCCUGCUCCAAUGUCCCAAGGCCAUCUGUCUCUCCGUCGACAGUACUGACACACAAUCUGAGACUAGCAAAUAUCCCAGUAAACUCAUGAACCUCUUUGGUUUCUGAUACGUCGCUCAUAUGCCUACCCAAGGCAUUUGUUACCUGGUUAUCUUUACCAGAUGGUAUGCAAUAUCCAAAUAUAGCCUGCUACCAACUCAAUCCAACUGCACUGUCCAAAUACAAGUUUUAAUGAAUGAAGAUAGAUUUCAGACUCCAAUGAUCCCAAAGAAUCUGAACUUCCUUCCUGUACAAUUACAAUCUCCAAAACUAUAACGCAAAUACCACUGCAGCCACUACGAAUCUUGAAUUGGAUAGUGGGUCUCGUGAGGUCUCAACUGAUGCAAUGUAUAUUGAAUGACCUGAUCCUCAUGCAUCAAUACAAAAUCCGCAAACGCUCAUAAUGCUCCCUCUACUCCAAGAAUAACUCAAUGGGGUCGUUGAUGAGUACAAUCGCGCACUUGUCCAAGUGUUCGCGAAAGACAUCAUUCUUAAGCUUCUCAAAUGCUAUCGGUGCAUUCGUCGAUCCAAAAUGAUUUCACCAAAACUCAUAAUAUCCAUAACGUAUACGAAAACCCACAUUCCGUACAUACUCCUCAACUAUAGCAAUCUGAUGAUGUCCUGAUGUCAAGACAACCUUCGAGAACGAUGAACCUCCAUGCAGCUAAUUCAACAACUCAUCAAUAUGAUGGUUACCAUGUUCAAGUUUAUGUAGUUGAUACAAAGCCUGAAACUCCCAUCAUUUUUUUUUGCUUUACAAACAACACUGGUGCUCCCCACGGCGAAUUACUCGGCCUGAUAAAUCUCUUGUCUGAUGAAUCUUCCAUAUGUUCUUUCAAUUCAGCCAUCUCUGCCGGCGCUAAUCGAUAUAGAACUCGUGAAACCGGUGUUGUCCUUGCCUUCAACUUGAACGUAAGAACAUCUCCUCUGGCUGGUGACGGCCCUUCCAUGGCCUCAAAUACAUCUCCAUACUCUGAGAUAACUAGAAGAUCCUGCGACUCAUGUUGACCAUCGAAAUGAUCGCCCAAAUCCAUUACUCCUCAUAUCCAAUAACUCCUCUGCAUGUAGCAUGUAUGCAAAUAAAAUCUGCUCUGCUCCAGAAAUAUGAACUUUUGCCCUCAGGCAAUCCAACAGUACUCGCUGUUGUGAUAACUCCAUCCCAAAAAUGAUAUCACAAAACACAAUUUUAUCUCUGUUCAGCCUUCCAAGUAUAACUGGUACACCACAAUCAAUAUAAAUAGCUCCCAACGUUUCUAUGUCAGCUGUCCGAGCUGACACAUCUCUGAAAUUAUCAACACUGCCAAAAACUGGAAAACAUACCAAGCGUAACUCCAAUAUCACACAACGCAAGCUGUCGCACCCAAUCCAAAAGCGAUCCCCACGAGUUUACAAAAUAACCAUGCCUCCAAGGCAAUAAAUAUACUCAUACACACGAAUAACACAUGCCAACUCAUGGCUCACAUCUCAUACCACAUAAUCUCCAAUAACAAAACCUCGUGGAGCGAUGGCUUGAAGUUAGAAUGGUGGCAACAAUGUCACAUAUCCACAUGCAGACAAUCUUCGAACACGGCUGACGAACCUGAUACACACCUGAGCAAUCUGUUGAGCUGUGACAUCAUCCAUCUGUCGAACAUCUCACUGAAACCCUGUUAGCUAGAGAACGGAUGACGAUGAUAAACUCAUCAUCAAUAAAAAGACACUUGGGUUAGAAGUUUCUGAACGAAAAGGUGCUGUAUUUUUCUUUUUCUUAAAACUCCCAAAUCCCCAUAUUCAAAAAUCCUUAAAACCGUUUAAGCUGAAUUAAAACCGAGUCGAAACCACGUCGAAACCACGUCCCAAUAAAUCGCCAUCCCGGGUCAGAGCCGGGACGGAACCCCGCUCUGAUACCAAAUUGUAACACCCGUCUCCUCCUCUCUCGAGAACGGUGUGUUACUACCGGUGAAAUAUCGAAUUAAACCGAAUUAUUCCAAAUCGAACAACAUAACAUAAUAUUUAAUAAAAUAAUUUUAAAAGAAAUACAUUUGUAAAUUGAAGUAUAAAAAUAUAUCAAAAUAAAUCGAAUCUAAAAUUCGUAUAAAUUAGUAAUCAAAACCGAAUUAAAUAAAUUAUCCCAAAGACACCAAACCGUUCAGAUAUCCAAUACUCGAUAAGCGCACCUGCAAGGGGGAAGAAGAGGGGUGAGCAACAGGUGAGUUACUCCGUGAGGUAUGGGGAUGCUAAACACGCAAACCACUGACUUGAGUAAUAGAAUUCCCACUAUGGAAGUUUAGCUCUAACAUGAACAAACAAGACGCCUAAAGCAUCACACAACACAAACAAUGCGAUGAUAACAUAUAGCUAGUCCAUACACCCCGCAUCUCCUCAUACGGAUAUAUAUAUACAUACGCUGCGUCGCUAGUACAGUCUGUCUCUGUACCCCCGCCCUCCAAAGCUGCGUCGAAUGCAAACGUCUCUGCAUCCACGCCCCACACAAUCUGCGUCGCUAGCCCAGACGUCUCUGAGACCCCGCCCAACAAAGCUGCGUCGCUAGUCCAGACAUCUCUGGACCCCCGCCCACUCACAUAGUCCCUAAUCAUAACUAUGUAAACAUACAUAUAUAUAUCGCAUUUCUUAACAUCACACAAUCAAAUCAACGGUUGAAUCCUCUAGACCCCUAGUUCCAAUUUACAAUGAAUGAGCUAACUAACAAACAAGACUCAAACAGAUUCAUUUCAAACAGAGGGAUCAUGAUUCGAAAUCUAAACUACGAUAGAGAGAAUUCUACACUGGUACGGGAUCUACGGAAUAGCCCUCACCUUAGCCAAUAUUAGAGAUUCGUCGGAUAAUACUCAGGAACUGAUAUGUCUCGUCAAAUGUCUAGGCUUUAGAGUUGACUUGGCAAACAAAUCACCGAUAAGGUCUUUGAUUCCUUCCUACGCAUGCCAUGUUAAACGUGUACGUUAAAUAUAUUUCUUGUAUCACAAGAAACAACUUAUGAUACAAUUAACCUUCUCGGAAAUAGCUACGGUUUGAACGGCUAGAUCUUUGGUGACACGGCUCAGCUCUCCGGUGGCUCACGGUUCAUGGCAAAGCAUAUCGGUGGUAGUCGGUUAAGCGGCUGUGGCUCAAAGCUUACAACGGGGGAUCCGCUCGGUGCCGCGGUGGUGAGACGGUGGCUCCUCUUUGUGCAUCUCCUUCUCACGUUCACUUAUCGGAUCGAUAUUAUACCAACCACAAAGCACUUGCGAUUGAUCUUGGACUAGCAAAGGUUGUGGCAUCACGGCGGUGGCUAUCGAUGAUGGAUGGUUCGUGGGGAAACGGAUCAGUGGUGGUGAUGGUAGCUCGGGCUUGCUCGCGAUCUAUCUCUUGACUUUGCUCACUUUAUCAACGCAUGAGAUGGCAUGGUAAUGGAUCCAGUGACUCAUCUCUUUAAGCUCUCGGAUCUGGCGUACCACCAACAAUGGUGGCUUUGAUUGCAAGCAAACAUGAGUGGGGGUGAAGAGAAGAACAAAUAAUCACGAGGUGGGUUGACGGCUUGACGUAUAUUUUAGGGUUACACAAACUCUUAUAUAUACGCCCACGAUUUAGUUAAUGAGAUUGGCUUUGGUUUUCACUCAUAAUUGUUUUAAAUUAAACCAUACCGAUUUAACAAAACCGGGUCGUUACAAUAACAUUAAAAGGGAGAUAACAUUUUCUACAUUAAAACGGAUAUAACAAUAAAACAGAGCUAGCAUUAAAACGAAAACUUCUUAAAAGGCUUUGUUUAAAGCAUAU